rnacentral:rRNA from 1 species
UACGUAGGGGGCAAGCGUUGUCCGGAUUUAUUGGGCGUAAAGAGCGUGUAGGCGGCCAGAUAGGUCCGUUGUGAAAACUCGAGGCUCAACCUCGAGACGCCGAUGGAAACCAUCUGGCUAGAGUCCGGAAGAGGAGAGUGGAAUUCCUGGUGUAGCGGUGAAAUGCGCAGAUAUCAGGAAGAACACCCGUGGCGAAGGCGGCUCUCUGGGACGGUACUGACGCUGAGAUGCGAAAGCGUGGGGAGCGAACAGG